AUAAAAGCCGUGGCCUCUGCCCAUCUGCUCAUUGCCCAGUCCACUCCUCAGCUCUCCAGAUGUGUGGCUCAGGAGGGAGACAUGGAUGAAAUGGAAGCGGCUAUGCACGGCAGGAGGCUGGCCAGGAGCACCCAGGGAGACAAGGCCCCUCCCACAGGGAAGACCAAGGGACUGACUCCAAGGGAAAUGUGUUUUGAAGAGAAGGAGUAUGAUUGCCAUCCCUAUGAAAGGCGGAGAAAGAAGGGAAUCCUAGAGACUGCAGAGGCCUCUCACAGCAGAGAAGGGAUCACCAGGCCGAGCCUGGCGGCCAAGGGCUCCAGGCGCAAGCGCAGGAGAAGCCCUGAGGGCUCCCCUGGCAGUAGCUACCAAGAAAACGGACACAGAGAAGCGAAGGUGAGGAGACGACCAUCCCCAGUUAAGGGGAGACCAAAGGACAAGCACGACCCCAGCAGAGCAGGAUGUCCGUGCAGAGCAGAGAUUGGCUUGCUGCGCAACGGGUUCUGCCCACACCGCCCCGCAACUCAAGAACAGGAGGACCCUGCCCGGGUCUCCAGAGAGGACCGCCGGCCGCGGACGCCGCCAGGACAGGCGGGAGGCCGGGCCCGCCUCCCCAAAGUGCCGCCGCCACCUGUCGCCAGAAGCCCGCGCGCCCCUGUCGGGGCCCCUGUCCCGGCUCUUCAACCACGUGGGCGCGCUGGACGUGGCCCUGGGCGAGCUGCGGGCUCCCGGGGGCGCCUUCCUGCCGCUGCCCGCCCGCGGCCCGCAGCCGGCCGCCUCGCAGCGCGCCUGGCUCUCCUGGCAGCUGGCGCAGGCGGGGGCGACCCUGCACGGGGCGGGCGCGGCGCUCGACGCCCUGCUCGCCGCCGCUCAGCCCCGGCCCGCCUGCCCGCAGCCCUCCCUGCCGGCGGCUCCGCGGCCGUAGGGGCCGCGCCCCGAGCCCUAGCCCGCGUCCUCGCCCUUCCCCGGGCCGCUCCCGUCUGCCCCGGAGCCCGUCCAGACUCUGCCCUCCCGACUCCCCGAGCAAGGGUCCGUGGCGGCAUCUUGCACACCCAGGCGACGAGCUCCCUCCCACAGCGCGACACCAUCCACCUGUCUGGGAAACAGUGUUAGGCACCGACCAGACCUCCCUCCCUUCCUACCGGAUCCCCGCUCAGGGAAAGGGCUCCUCCUUUCCAGAAGACAGCGAAGAUGAGCGCUCAGAGGAAAACCUUUCUUCUCUUCUGGUGCCUCAGAUUAUCGAGAGUGACGCGAUUUGUGCCUUUUCAUCCCUUGAUGUUUUCCUAUUUAAGUUCAAAAGUAAAAUGCUUGAUAUAUGUAUGUAUAUAUAUAUGUGUGUGUAUAUAUAUAUAUAUAUAUUUCCGCCGUGGCUUCUACUGUAAAGCACA
rnacentral:lncRNA from 1 species